UUGUGGAGGAGGACGCCGAAGGUGGGGCUAAUGACUGGGGUGAAGUCGUAACAAGGUAGCCGUACCGGAAGGUGCGGCUGGAUCACCUCCUAACAGGGAGACAACAAAAUGUUUAAUAUUAUUAUUUUGUCACCUUAGGUCGAUCGGUAUCUCACAUUCUUAAUUUAUUAAGAAUUUCAUUUCCUAAGUUUUUCUAGGUCACACCCAUUAUUUUCCUGGGCCAUUAGCUCAGGUGGUUAGAGCGCACCCCUGAUAAGGGUGAGGUCCCUGGUUCAAGUCCAGGAUGGCCCAUAUCUCUAUGUUGGGGGUAUAGCUCAGUUGGUAGAGCGCCUGCUUUGCAAGCAGGAUGUCAGCGGUUCGAGUCCGCUUACCUCCACUGAUUACCACCUCUUCCAUAAUCUGUAGAAAGGAAAAUUUUUUGUGUUGUGAUCAUAAUUCUGAACGAAUCUAGCUUCUUAAUGAAACUAUUAAGAUGCUGGACUCAUUGAAUUAAUUUCAUUGUUUUCAGAGAACCUUGACAACUGCAUAGAUUAUUUUUAAAGACAAUAAGCAUCUUUAAUGAUGCAGAUUUAUUAUUUGUGCAAAUGCAUUAAUAACAAUUCUAUUAAGCUGAUGCUUCAAUUUUGAAGUUAUUGGUCAAGCUACAA
rnacentral:misc_RNA from 1 species